GCACUAUUCAUGAGAAGCAGAAUGUGGGCAGUAGAAGAGGACUAGGCCACAUGCUUAAAUCAGCAAUUGUUCUUUGGGAUGUUCUUUGUUAUGGAGGAUUUGACAGGUGUUUGAAGUUAUUUAUUAAAUUUGCAGGGUAUGAGUCAAGUGAUGAAAGAAAAAAAAGUCAGAUUCAUCCAUUAUGAAAACAAUCCUUAUUAGCAGUUGUAGAAUGUAACUGACAUACCGUAUACCUGGAAGUGACACGUUUCUGAACCUGAAGGGGUCUCAGUCGUUUAUAU